UGAGGAUCUCCUGCCGAACAAAACAGUAACUGUGCUUGCUCUAACGAGAAGAGCUGACACUGUAACUGCCACGAUGCAGUAGUAUACACCAAUUCGAAUCAGAUCAUCGAAGCCUAGCCCAUUGGUCUAACAAGCUUCUACUUUGGAUACACCAUGAUGUUCUGUCUUGGCCUUGGAAUCCUUUGCGGAGCUGUUGGAUUCUUGGGAUCAAAUCUGUUUGUAAGGAGAAUCUACAGAAACAUCAAGUGCGACUAGACGAA